rnacentral:rRNA from 1 species
GACGAACGCUGGCGGCGUGCUUAACACAUGCAAGUCGAACGGAAAGGCCCUGCUUGCAGGGUACUCGAGUGGCGAACGGGUGGGUAACUCGUGGGUGAUCUGCCCUGCACUUCGGGAUAAGUCUGGGAAACUGGGUCUAAUACCGGAUAGGAGCUAUAUUGAGCGGGAUGGUUGGAAAGUUUUUUCGGGGUUUGAUGAGCUGGGGGCCUAUCGGCUUGUUGGUGGGGUAAUGGGGUACCAAGGCGGCGGAGGGUAGCCGGACUGAGGGGGUGGACGGCCACACUGGGACUGAGAUGCGGCCCCGACACCGACGGGUGGCAGCUGUGGGGAAUCUUGCACGAUGAGCGCCAGGCUGAUGCAGAGACGCCGCGGGGGGGAUAACGCCCUUCGGGUUGAAGACUCAUUUCGCUAGGAACGAAGCUUUUUGUGACGGUACCUAGAUAAGAAGCCCCGGCUAACUACGUG